ACCUCGUCCUCCAGUCUCCGAGCCUCUUCCAGCCUCAAGCUAGUCAGCCUGAAAAGCAGAAGCAGUUAAGUUCCUUUCUCUCUCUUGCAGUUUGCCGUGCGUAAUGGGCCUGUGUUUCCACAGUGCUCGCGCGUGACCAGACUGUCAGAUGUGUCACUGCCUGAACUACAUGGCCUCCCGCAGCCGGUUCUCCUUGGUCUUCUCCUUGACCAGCUCCUCGUGUCUGUACGCGGGGAAGAGCCAGGUGGUGAAGAACACAUACAGCUUGCCAGCCCACGCAUCCAGCUUCUCCUUCCGCUCAUUCUUGGACUUCCCUGCAACAGAGCAGAGCUAAGAUGAACAUGAGGACAGCUGUGCGCUUCUGCCCUUCCUGGGUUGGGCCUCUCAGGCUGUGAGGACAGAAAGCUGCAAGUGCACCGUGGACAGGUGCCGGAGAUGGAAGCAGGGGCCUCACACACGGUGGGGAGCAGGUGCUUGGCUGCAGCUGCCUCGUGGCGCUUUCUUCCUCUUCAUUUUCCCGGGCGAACACCAGGACCACUUUGUCAAAUUCAUCAAAGUGUUGGGAUUGGAAGGAAAUCUAAACUGUUUCAGGAAGAGUCGUUAUUGCUGCAGUCCUCAGUCUUGCCAGGCAGGACGGACGGUCGGACACGUGAGCUAGCAUGUUAGCGCCUCUCUCCUGCAUCCCGUCUGGGGUCAAUGUUUCGGUUUUGUGUUACAUAAUGAGAACGUGGAGGACUCUAACCGUCCUGUCAUCCUGCCCUGAACCACGUCGUGGUGAGGGCGUUCCAGGAAGGUCUUUGGUAAGCUUGGUUCUCUGCUGGGAUAUGACUGCCACAGGACAAGCAUCACAGCCUUGCACAUCCUCAGUAGAGGAGAAAAGUUGGAGGAUUUCCAGAAACCACUGGUGUCCUGACCACAUGGGGCAAGGUCACAGGUGAGGAAGGGGAACUGCUGGCCAUGGGGAGGGCAGGACACGGGGCAUGUGGCGGCAAGCGUGUGCCCUCGGAUGGAGGACAGGGUCCUGCUGAUGUGCCCCCAGGAGGGGCUCAGGACAGGAUUUUCAAGGAGGACACAUCUGGUGGGCCACCCACCACAGAGAGGCCGGUCAGCA